rnacentral:rRNA from 1 species
UACGAAGGGGGCUAGCGUUGUUCGGAUUUACUGGGCGUAAAGCGCACGUAGGCGGAUCGUUAAGUCGGGGGUGAAAUCCUGGAGCUCAACUCCAGAACUGCCUUCGAUACUGGCGAUCUCGAGUCCGGAAGAGGUGAGCGGAACUCCUAGUGUAGAGGUGGAAUUCGUAGAUAUUAGGAAGAACACCAGUGGCGAAGGCGACUCACUGGUCCGGUACUGACGCUGAGGUGCGAAAGCGUGGGGAGCGAACAGG